rnacentral:rRNA from 1 species
UACGGAGGGUGCAAGCGUUAUCCGGAUUCACUGGGCUUAAAGGGUGUGUAGGCGGGCUGUUAAGUCAGUGGUGAAAUCUCCGGGCUCAACCCGGAAACUGCCAUUGAUACUAUCAGUCUUGAAUAUUGUUGAGGUGGGCGGAAUAUGUCAUGUAGCGGUGAAAUGCAUAGAUAUGUCACAGAACACCAAUUGCGAAGGCAGCUUACUAAAGUAUGAUUGACGCUGAGGCACGAAAGCGUGGGGAUCAAACAGG